AUUGAACGCGGGCGGCAGGCUUAACACAUGCAAGUCGAGCGGAGAGAGGUAGCUUGCUACUGAUCUUAGCGGCGGACGGGUGAGUAAUGCUUAGGAAUCUGCCUAUUAGUGGGGGACAACAUUUCGAAAGGAAUGCUAAUACCGCAUACGUCCUACGGGAGAAAGCAGGGGAUCUUCGGACCUUGCGCUAAUAGAUGAGCCUAAGUCGGAUUAGCUAGUGGGUGGGGUAAAGGCCUACCAAGGCGACGAUCUGUAGCGGGUCUGAGAGGAUGAUCCGCCACACUGGGACUGAGACACGGCCCAGACUCCUACGGGAGGCAGCAGUGGGGAAUAUUGGACAAUGGGCGCAAGCCUGAUCCAGCCAUGCCGCGUGUGUGAAGAAGGCCUUAUGGUUGUAAAGCACUUUAAGCGAGGAGGAGGCUACUUUAGUUAAUACCUAGAGAUAGUGGACGUUACUCGCAGAAUAAGCACCGGCUAACUCUGUGCCAGCAGCCGCAGUAACAC
rnacentral:rRNA from 1 species